ensembl:rRNA 5S_rRNA 5S ribosomal RNA
GCUUACGACCACACCGGCCUGAGUACGCCUGAUCUCGUCUGAUCUCGGAAGCUAAGCAGGGUCGGGCCUGGUUAGUACUUGGAUGGGAGACUUCCUGGGAACCCAGGUGCUGUAAGCU